rnacentral:lncRNA from 1 species
ACCUCCAGCAGUCUAGCAAGUUACCAAGCUUGAUCACCGUUGCUUCCACACAAGGUCUCCAUAGCCAUACCACUUUGGUAUACCUCCACCUCAAACCGAGAUUCUUCCACCAAAGCCUUAAACCGGUAUACCCACUAUGUCUUCCACCUUGUAACUGAGUAUUCUUACCACCGCCUCUCCAGGCUGAUGUUGAGUAUUAUUUCACCGCCUCUCCAGGCCGAUGUUGAGUAUUAUUACCACCGCCUC